UUAAAACAAAAAUUAUAAAAAAAAGAGAGAAAGUUUCCAUUACGUUGAAAAGGCGUCGCCUCUUCAACCCAUCACUUCUCGCCUCAAAGGUCUCAGGCGCGCGUCUUUUCUCAUUUGCCUCGCCUCAGCCAAGCUUAGGGCCUCGACUCGCCUCGCCUGAGGCUUUUUUGCUCCUUUUAUAACAUUGUUUGAAAUAGAUAGAAA
rnacentral:misc_RNA from 1 species